CCCGACUGCUAUUUGGGUGAGAAUAAGCCAUGCGAGUUGAAUGGGAUACCUAAAUUUCCCAUAGCGAACUGCUCAGUAACACAUGAUCAACUUACCCUAUAGAGAAACAUAACCUCGGGAAACUGAGGAUAAUAUUUCAUAGUUGAAUAGGCUUGGAAAAGUUUUUCAAUAAAAGAGAUGAAAAAAAUGGUUUUUAUCUGCUAUAGGAUAGGAUCGUGGACGAUUAUGGUUGUUGGUGAGGUAACGGCUCACCAAGCCGAUAAUCGAUAGGGGCCGUGAGAGCGGGAGCCCCGAGAUGGGUACUGAGACAACGACCCAGGCCUUACGAGGCGCAGCAGGCGCGGAACCUCCGCAAUACACGAAAGUGUGACGGGGUUACCCAAAGUGUUCAAUUUUGAACUGUGGUAGGUGGGUAAUGUUCCCUACUAGAAAGGAGAGGGCAAGGCUGGUGCCAGCCGCCGCGGUAAAACCAGCUCUUCAAGUGGUCGGGAUAAUAUUGGGCUUAAAGUGUCCGUAGCCGGUUUAGUAAGUUCCUGGUAAAAUCGGGUAGCUUAACUAUCUGUAUGCUAGGAAUACUGCUAUACUAGAGGGCAGGAGAGGUCUGAGGUACUACAGGGGUAGGGGUGAAAUCUUAUAAUCCUUGUAGGACCACCAGUGGCGAAGGCGUCAGACUGGAACGCGCCUGACGGUGAGGGACGAAAGCCAGGGGAGUGAACCGGAUUAGAUACCCGGGUAGUCCUGGCCGUAAACGAUGCAUACUAGGUGAUGGUGUGGCCAUGAGCCGUAUCAGUGCCGUAGGGAAACCGUUAAGUGUGCCGCCUGGGAAGUACGGUCGCAAGGCUAAAACUUAAAGGAAUUGGCGGGGGAGCACCACAAGGGGUGAAGCCUGCGGUUCA
rnacentral:rRNA from 1 species